UACAGAGGGGGCAAGCGUUGUUCGGAAUUACUGGGCGUAAAGGGCGCGUAGGCGGCCUGCUAAGUCGAACGUGAAAUCCCCGAGCUCAACUCGGGAACUGCGUCCGAUACUGGCAGGCUUGAAUCCGGGAGAGGGAUGCGGAAUUCCAGGUGUAGCGGUGAAAUGCGUAGAUAUCUGGAGGAACACCGGUGGCGAAGGCGGCAUUCUGGACCGAUAUUGACGCUGAGGAGCGAAAGCCAGGGGAGCAAACGGG
rnacentral:rRNA from 1 species